rnacentral:rRNA from 1 species
UACAGAGGGGGCAAGCGUUGUUCGGAAUUACUGGGCGUAAAGGGCUCGUAGGCGGCCAACUAAGUCGGACGUGAAAUCCCCAGGCUCAACCUGGGAACUGCGUCUGAUACUGGAUGGCUUGAAUCCGGGAGAGGGAUGCAGAAUUCAGGUGUAGCGGUGAAAUGCGCAGAUAUCAGGAGGAACACCGAUGGCGAAGGCAGGUCUCUGGGCCAUAACUGACGCUGAGAAGCGAAAGCAUGGGGAGCGAACAGG